CCUACGGGAGGCAGCAGUGAGGAAUAUUGGUCAAUGGGCGAGAGCCUGAACCAGCCAAGUCGCGUGAAGGAUGACGGCCCUACGGGUUGUAAACUUCUUUUGUCAGGGAGCAAUUGGGUCCACGCGUGGGCUUAGCGAGAGGACCUGAAGAACAAGCAUCGGCUAACUCCGUGCCAGCAGCCGCGGUAAUACGGAGGGAGAGAGCGUUAUCCGGAUUUAGUGGGUUUAAAGGGUGCGUGGGCGGAAUAUCAAGUCAGCGGGAAAAACGCGGGGCUACACCGCGUCGGGGCUGGGAAACUGAUGUUCUUGAGUGGGCGAGAGGAAUGCGGAAUGCGUGGUGUAGCGGUGAAAUGCAUAGAUAUCACGCAGAACUCCAAUUGCGAAGGUAGCAUACCGGCGCCCAACUGACGCUGAAGCACGAAAGCGUGGGUAUCGAACAGGAUUAGAUACCCGGGUAGUC
rnacentral:rRNA from 1 species